rnacentral:rRNA from 1 species
UACGUAGGGACCAAGCGUUGUUCGGAUUUACUGGGCGUAAAGGGCGCGUAGGCGGCGCGGUAAGUCACUUGUGAAAUCUCUGAGCUUAACUCAGAACGGCCAAGUGAUACUGCAGUGCUAGAGUGUGGAAGGGGCAAUCGGAAUUCUUGGUGUAGCGGUGAAAUGCGUAGAUAUCGGAAGGAACACCAGUGGCGAAGGCGGCGAUCUGGGAAGAUACUGACGCUGAGGUGCGAAAGCGUGGGGAGCAAACAGG